AUAUAUAUAUAUAUUUUUUUUUUACUUGGUCAAUUUAUGGGGGAAGCUUGGCAUCCAUGAAUACACGUCACUGGCCUGAACGGGGCAGAGACAGGGCAGGAGUAAGGGAGGGGUUUGUGUCGUGGGGUCUGACUAUCUUUGUCUGUCUGACUUGCUGUAAUGAUUUAAUUAAACAUGUCUGAUUAUGACUCCGUGUGUGUAUUGUAAACCUUUAUGCUAUAGAGUAAUCUCCUGUGUAUGUGUGCACGUGGAGCCUGUUUGUGUGACUGGUGUGUGUGUACCCUGGUUCAGGUUUGUAUACAGAUGUUUGUUUAUAAGCUCUGUCCUGUUAGGGAGAAUGUUCUUAGAGGGAACAACAGGUUGUGUGCUUAUCCGCUUCCAGGAAGAUUAAAACAAGUUCCCUUUUCUGAAACCACUGCUCACACACAUCCUGACAUUAACACACCCUUCUGCAUAACUGACUAAAGUCUAUCAGUGGUAAAGUAUAUGAUUAUAUGUUUAUGUAUUGCAUGCUAUGAAUAGGUUAUAUAAUUAUAUUGGAGGAAGGGGGCAGAGGGGUCAGGUGGUAAUUAAGGGCAACAACCCCUGAACCUCAGCUGUAAAGGGACGUUAAUUAUUAAUGCACGCAUAUUGGGGGGGAUUUCCACUAGUUACAACAGCUACAAAGUAAAAGUUGGCUAUAUUGUAAAACUUAAUGGGGAAAAAAUAGCUUUGUGCUCUUAAUUUAUAGUUAGGCAUAAGGUCAGCAGUAGUGUGGGUAGGAUUAGGGUUACAAUCUUUAAAGAGAAAUGGUCGAAAUAGGCGGGGUUUAUGACUUUGUGGCUGUGCUAACUAUAGUGGCGACCAGUGGAUGAGAGAGCCACAGCCUGAUUUGGCACAGACAGGACGUAGGCUGUAUGUGUUUGUACCCCAUUUACAGAACUGGGAGGUUGAGUGCUCCUGUCAACGAGUGAAAACUGCGCUUGCAUCGGGCGCUGUGAAAAUGGCGGAUGACUGCGCUAGGCUCAGUACAAUAAUUGGUCAAUGUUCGCACGGCAGACUUUGCCCGGUGAGGGAGUGUUGUGUGUACGGAAAUCCAGUAAUGUGGCGCGAGCAGCUGUCAAGCAAAACUAGUAGCGGAACGGGGGCUCCUCGGGCUGUCAAGCGAGUCGACCGCUGGAGCGCGCAAGGGCUAUAGCCCAGACCCCCAUUGAUACUACUGCUGCUGCCAUGGAGAGGAAACAGGUAAUAUAUCGGAAUAUUUUAUUGUGAUUCAAUGAAACAGGAUCUGUUGCAGAACGUCUGAUCAUCAUACCCAAUGGUGUAAAGUGUACUACUUAAGUAGUUUUUUGGGGUAUCUGUACUUUUAUAUUUUUGACUACACUACAUUCCUAAAGAAAAUAAUGUACUUUUUACUCCAUACAUGUUCUCUGAAACAGUUCGAAUGCUUAGCAGGACAGGAAAAUUGUCAAAUUCAUACUUAUCUGAUCUGGCGGACUCACUAAACACAAAUGCUUAGUUUGUAAAUUAUGUCUGAGUGUUGGAGUGUGCCCCUUGCUAUCCUUAAAAAAACAUGAAAAUGAUGCCAUCUGAUUUGCAAAAUAUAAGGAAUUUGAAAUGAUUUUGACUUUUACUUUCAAUAUUUAAGUAUUACUUUUGACACUUAAGUAUAUUUAAAACNNNNNNNNNNGUAGUAUACCAGUAGUGUAGUUAUAAUAUACUACUAUUAGUAGUAGUAGUAGUAGUGUCAUUGUAGUAUAGUAGCAAUAGUUCAGUUAUUGUAUACUAGUGGUAGUAUUGUAGUUAUAGCAUACUAGUAGUAGUAGUGUAGUUAUAGUACACUAGUAUUAGUAACGGAGUUAUCAUAUACUAGUAGUAGUAGUGUAGUUAUGGUAUACCAGUAGUAGUAGUAGUGUAGUUAUAGUAUACUAGUAGCAGUGGUGUAAAGUACUUAAUUAAAAAUAUGUGAAAGUACGACUUAAGUAUUUUUGGGGGGUAUCUGUACUUUACUGUUUAUAUUUUUGACUACUUUUACUUCACUACAUUCCUAAAGAAAAUAAUGUACUUUUUAUUCCAUAUAUUUUCUCUGAAACGCAAAAGUACUUGUUACAUUUUGAAUGCUUCGCUGGACAGGAAAAUUGUCCAAUUCAUGCACUUAUCAAGAGAACAUCCAUGGUCAUCCCUAUUGCCUCUGAUCUGGCUGUUUGUAAAUUAUGUCUAAGUGUUGGAGUGUGUCCCUGGCUAUCCAUAAAUUUAAAAAACAAGAAAAUGAUGCCGUCUGGUUUACUUAAUAUAAGGAAUCGUUAUAGUAUACAAGUAGUAGUGUCGUUAUAGUAUACUAGUUGUACUUUUGUCAUUAUAGUAUACUAGCUGUAGUGUAGUUAUAGUAUACUAGUUGUCGUAGUGUCGUUAUAUUAUACUAGUAGUAGUUGUGUAGUUAUAGUAUACUUCUAGUAGUAGUGUAGUGUAGUUAUGGUAUACUAGUACAGUAGUAAUGCGUAUGUGUCCAGUCGAGCUGCUGUGUGUAACAUAGUGGUGUACAAUAACGUGUGUGUGUGUGUGUGUGUGUGUGUGUNNNNNNNNNNUCCCCCGACAACGAUUCGGCUAGAUUCAAAAACCUUCCCCACCAACCCUCUCCCUCUGUCUCCCCCUCUGUGUCCCUCUUCUCCUCCCCUCCUACCCCUCUUUCCUCCCCUCCUCCACCUCUUUCCUCCCCUCCUCCACCCCUCUCCUUGUCCAGUCCCCAGCUCCAGGCUGAGUUUCUGAGGAGAGCAAGCCGUGGUCUGAGAACUGUCUCCUGUGACACCAGCGAUGUCCUCACCUCCCCCAGCUCCACCCUGGUCUCCCCCUUUACCUCCAUCACCACCUCCACCCUUACCUCCCCCCCACAGCCCCUGUCCUCCUCCAUGCCCACUAAAGAGGGUGAGUUUUGAAGCAGUGCCAUGGUCUAGUACUGAUAGUAGUCAUGUGAUGCUUGUCUCUCUCCAGUUCUCAGCUACUGAAUAGUAGUAGUAGUGGUUGUGUCGUUAUAGUAUACUAGUAGUAAUGUCGGUAUAGUAUACGAGUAGUAUUGUCGGUAUAGUAUACUAGUAGUAAUAGUGUCGUUAUAGUAUACUACUAGUAGUAGUGUCCUUAUAGAAUACUACUAAUUGUAGUGUCGUUAUUGCAUACUAGUGUCGUUAUAGAGUAGCAGUAGUGUCGUUAUAGUAUACUACUAGUUGUAGUGUCAUUAUAGUAAACUACCACCAGUAGUGGUAGUGUAGUUAUAGUAAACUAAUAGUAGUGUAGUAGUAGUUAUAGUAAACUACCAGUAGUAGUGGUAGUAGUGUAGUAGUAGUAGUAGUAGUGUAGUUAUAGUAUACUAGUAGAAGUAGUAGUGGUGUUAUAGUAUACCAGUAGUAGUAAUGGAGUUAUAGUAUACCAGUAGUAGUAAUGGAGUUAUAGUAUACCAGUAGUAGUAAUGGAGUUAUAGUAUACUAGUAGUGGUAGUAGUGUAGUAGUAGUAGUGUAGUCGUAGUUAUAGUAAACUACCAGUGGUAGUAGUGUAGUUAUAGUAUACUAGUAGAAGUAGUAGUGGUGUUAUAGUAUACCAGUAGUAGUAAGGGAGUUAUAGUAUACCAGUAGUAGUAAUGGAGUUAUAGUAUACCAGUAGUAGUAAUGGAGUUAUAGUAUACUAUUAGUGGUAGUAGUGUCGUUAUAGUAUACUAGUAGUGGUAGUAGUGUCGUUAUAGUAUACUACUACUAGUAGUGUCAUUAUAGCAUACUACUAAUUGUAGUGUCGUUAUUGCAUACUAGUGUCGUUAUAGAGUAGCAGUUGUGUCGUUAUAGUAUACUUCUAAUUGUAGUGUCGUUAUAGUAAACUACCACCAGUAGUAGAAGUGGUAGUGUAGUUAUAGUAAACUAGUAGUAGUGUAGUCGUAGUUAUAGUAAACUACCAGUGGUAGUAGUAGUAGUGUAGUUAUAGUAUACUAGUAGAAGUAGUAGUGGUGUUAUAGUAUACCAGUAGUAGUAAUGGAGUUAUAGUAUACCAGUAGUAGUAAUGGAGUUAUAGUAUACCAGUAGUAGUAAUGGAGUUAUAGUAUACUAGUAGUGGUAGUAGUGUCGUUAUAGUAUACUAGCAGUGGUAGUAGUGUCGUUAUAGAAUACUACUAGUAGUGACUGUGUAGUUUACUGUCAAUAGUGUAGUUAUAGUAUACUAAGUAGUAGUAGUAGUGUAGUUGUAGUGUACUAUUAGUAAUGUACUUACAGUCUAAUAGUAUGCGUGUUACUAUAGAAUACUAGUAGUAGUGUCGUUAUAGUAUACUAGUAGUAGUGUUGUUUUAGUAUACUAGUAGUAGUGUCGUUUUAGUAUACUAGUAGUAGUGUCAUUUUAGUAUACUGGUAGUAGUGGUGUAGUUAUAGUAUACUAAUAGUAGUUGUAGUGUGGUUAUAGUAUACUAGUAGUAGCGGUGUAGUUAUAGUAUUCCAGUAGUAGUGUAGUUAUGGUACACUAGUGUUUGUAGUGUAGUUAUAGUAUACUAGUAGUGUAGUCAUAGUAGUAGCCGUGGUGUAAAGUACUUCAGUAAAAAUACUUGAAAGUACUACUUAAGUCUUUUUUUUAGUCUUAGUCUUUACUUUACUAUUUAUAUUUUUGACUACUUUUUCUUCACUACAUUCCUUUAUUUUUUUUUGAAUUUUUACCCCCUUUUCUCCCCAAUUUCGUGGUAUCCAAUUGUUGUAGUAGCUACUAUCUUGUCUCAUCGCUGCAACUCCCGUACGGGCUCGGGAGAGACGAAGGUUGAAAGUCAUGCGUCCUCCGAUACACAACCCAACCUAGCCGCACUGCUUCUUAACACAGUGCGCAUCCAACCCGGAAGCCAGCCGCACCAAUGUGUCGGAGGAAACACCGUGCACCUGGCAACCUUGGCUAGCGCGCACUGCGCCCGGCCCCGCCACAGGAGUCGCUGGUGCGCGAUGAGACAAGGACAUCCCUACCGACCAAGCCCUCCCUAACCCGGACGACGCUGGGCCAAUUGUGCGUCGCCCCAUGGACCUCCCGGUCGCGGCCGGUUACGACAGAGCCUGGGCGCGAACCCAGAGUCUCUGAUGUCACAGCUGGCGCCACCCGGGAGGCCUUCACUACAUUCCUAAAGAAAAUAAUGUACUUUUUACUCAAUACGUUUUCUCUGAAACCCAAACGUACUCGUUACAUUUUGAAUGCUUAGCAGGACAGGAAAAUUGUCCAAUUCAUGUACUUAGCAAGAGAAUGUCCGUGGUCAUCCCUGUUGCUUCUGAUCUUGCGGACUCACUAAACACAAAUGCUUAUUUUGUAAAUGAUGUCUGAGUGUUGGAGUGUGCCCUUGGCUAUCCGUAAAUAAAAAAACAAGAAAAUGGUGCCGUCUGGUUUGCUUAAUAUAAGGAAUUUGAAAUGAUUUAUGCUUUUACUUUCAAUACUUAAGUAUAUUUUAACAAUUACAUUUAGUUUUGAUAAUUUAGGAUAUUUAAAACCAAAUACUUUUAGACUUUUAAUCAAGUAGUAUUUUACUGGGUGACUUUCACAAAGAUACCUUAGUCAUUUUCUAAGGUAUCUUUACUUUUACUCAAGUAUGACAAUUGGGUACGUUUUCCACCACUGACUAGUAGACUAGUUACAGUAUACUAACAGUAGUAGUGCCAUUAUAGUAUACUGCUGGUAGCAGUGUCAUUAUAGUAUAUUACUACUAGUAGUAAUGUCGUUAUAGUAUACUAGUAGUAGUGUUGGUAUAUUAUACUAGUAGUAGUGCCGUUACUGUAUACUAGUAGCAGUGUAGUUAUAGUAUACAUGUAGGAGUGCAGUUAUAGUAUACUAGUAGUAGUAGUUUAGUUAUAGUAUACUAGUAGAAGUGUAGUUAUAGUGUACUAGUAGUAGUGAUAGUGUAGUUAUAGAAUGUGUGUAGUAGUGUAGUUAUAGUAUACUAGUAGUGUAGUUAUAGUAUACUAGUAUUAUUAGUGUAGUUAUAGUAUACUACCAGUAGUAGUGUAGUUAUAGUAUACUAUUGUAGUAGUUGAGCAGUUAUAGUAUACUACUAGAGUAGUGUAGUUAUGGUAUACUAGUGG
rnacentral:lncRNA from 13 species